GCGCGCGUAGCUCAGCGGUAGAGCGCCUCGUUCACACCGAGGAUGUCGGGGGUUCGAUCCCCUCCGGGCGCACCA
rnacentral:tRNA from 1 species